rnacentral:rRNA from 1 species
AGCAGUCGCCACGGUAAUACGUAGGUCCCGAGCGUUGUCCGGAUUUAUUGGGCGUAAAGCGAGCGCAGGCGGUUAGAUAAGUCUGAAGUUAAAGGCUGUGGCUUAACCAUAGUACGCUUUGGAAACUGUUUAACUUGAGUGCAAGAGGGGAGAGUGGAAUUCCAUGUGUAGCGGUGAAAUGCGUAGAUAUAUGGAGGAACACCGGUGGCGAAAGCGGCUCUCUGGCUUGUAACUGACGCUGAGGCUCGAAAGCGUGAGGAGCAAACAGGAUUAGAUACCCCAGUAGUCCCUGUCUCUUAUACA